rnacentral:rRNA from 1 species
GACGAACGCUGGCGGCGUGCUUAACACAUGCAAGUCGAACGGAAAGGCCCUGCUUGCAGGGUACUCGAGUGGCGAACGGGUGAGUAACACGUGGGUGAUCUGCCCUGCACUUCGGGGUAAGCCUGGGAAACUGGGUCUAAUACCGGAUAGGAGCCAUUUUUAGUGUGGUGGUUGGAAAGGUUUUUUCGGUGUAGGGUGAGCUCGCGGCCUAUCAGCUUGUUGGUGGGGUAAUGGCCUACCAAGGCGGCGACGGGUAGCCGGCCUGAGAGGGUGGACGGCCACAUUGGGACUGAGAUACGGCCCAGACUCCUACGGGAGGCAGCAGUGGGGAAUAUUGCACAAUGGGCGCAAGCCUGAUGCAGCGACGCCGCGUGGGGGAUGACGGCCUUCGGGUUGUAAACUCCUUUCGCUAGGGACGAAGCUUUUUGUGACGGUACCUAGAUAAGAAGCACCGGCUAACUACGUG